UAGGGAAUAUUAGAAAUGGACGAAAGUCUGAUCUAGCAACACCGCGUGUGCGAAGAAGCCCUUCGGGUCGUAAAGCACUUUUUGGAAGGAAUAGGAAGGAAUGUACUUCCAGAAUAAGUCUCGGCUAACUACGUGCCAGCAGCCGCGGUAACAUGUAGGAGGCAAACGUUAUCCGGAUUUACUGGGCGUAAAGCGCGUGUAGGUGGUACUGUAAGUAGGGCGUGAAAGCUCCUGGCUCAACUGGGAGAGGCCGUUCUAAACUACAGAACUAGAGGAUGGUAGAGGGAGGUGGAAUUCCAGGUGUAGCGGUGGAAUGCGCAGAUAUCUGGAGGAACACCGGUGGCGAAGGCGGCCUCCUGGACCAUUCCUGACACUCAGACGCGAAAGCUAGGGUAGCAAACGGG
rnacentral:rRNA from 1 species